rnacentral:misc_RNA from 2 species
AAGUCGUAACAAGGUCUCCGUUGGUGAACCAGCGGAGGGAUCAUUACCGAGUUUACAAACUCCCAAACCCUUUGUGAACCUUACCAUAUUGUUGCUUCGGCGGGACCGCCCCGGCGCCUUCGGGCCCGGAACCAGGCGCCCGCCGGAGGCCCCAAACUCUUAUGUCUUUAGUGGUUUUCUCCUCUGAGUGACACAUAAACAAAUAAAUAAAAACUUUCAACAACGGAUCUCUUGGUUCUG